AUACUUACCUGGCAGGGCAGAUACCACGAUCACAAGGUGGCUUUCCCAGGGCGAGGCUUAUCCACCGCACUGACCCCUGCGGUUUCCCCAAAUGUGGGAAACUCAACUGCAUAAUUUGUGGUAGUGGGAAGUUGCAUUUGUGUCCUCCCCU
rnacentral:snRNA from 1 species